rnacentral:rRNA from 1 species
GAUGAACGCUGGCGGCGUGCCUAACACAUGCAAGUCGAGCGAUUCCUUCGGAGAAGAGCGGCGGACGGGUGAGUAACGCGUGGGUAACCUGCCCUGUAACACGGAUAACAUACCGAAAGGUAUGCUAAUACGAGAUAAUAUACUUUUAUCGCAUGGUAGAAGUAUCAAAGCUUUUGCGGUACAGGAUGGACCCGCGUCUGAUUAGCUAGUUGGUAAGGUAACGGCUUACCAAGGCGACGAUCAGUAGCCGACCUGAGAGGGUGAUCGGCCACAUUGGAACUGAGACACGGUCCAAACUCCUACGGGAGGCAGCAGUGGGGAAUAUUGCACAAUGGGCGAAAGCCUGAUGCAGCAACGCCGCGUGAGCGAUGAAGGCCUUCGGGUCGUAAAGCUCUGUCCUCAAGGAAGAUAAUGACGGUACUUGAGGAGGAAGCCCCGGCUAACUACGUG